rnacentral:rRNA from 1 species
AUGCCCGGUCAGUGUCCACGAGCGUGUCCGCAGGUGUUUAAGGGACCAGAUUUGCAAAGUCCGGCUGUAGAUGCUUUAACCAUGCAUUCAUGCUGCUCAGCGAAGGUUCAGCUAAUAGCAUUUUCCCUCUGUUGCAAAAGCAGAGAACAUACUUGCACCGGUAGACGUGUCACACAUGUGUGGCUACGUGCAGAGACCACGCGAGAGGAGUAUCAUGAGUCCAUCACGCAAUGCAGGCGACGGGGACAGAUGAGCCGAUGGACACGGCCACGUCCCCGCACCCAGCAAAGUGGCGAGCAUGCACGGCGACGCGCCGCUCCGAUGUCGCCAAAAGCUAGAAAAGAGAGAGAAACAAAGCCGGCCCGAUCCCCUCUCCUCCCGUCCUACCACAAAAAGGGCGCCGGGAACGGGCAGCGCCCGCGAGCUUUCCCAGCCCCGCAAUCUCUCUUGCGCUUUCCUAGUCCCGGCACCGGUAGCGGUAGGCCACUCACUGUCCACAGAGGACGUGGGCAUAGCCCAGUGGUUGGGGGCGCAUGA